GACGAACGCUGGCGGCGUGCUUAACACAUGCAAGUCGAACGGAAAGGCCCUGCUUUUGUGGGGUGCUCGAGUGGCGAACGGGUGAGUAACACGUGAGUAACCUGCCCUUGACUUUGGGAUAACUUCAGGAAACUGGGGCUACUACCGGAUAGGAGCUCCUGCUGCAUGGUGGGGGUUGGAAAGUUUCGGCGGUUGGGGAUGGACUCGCGGCUUAUCAGCUUGUUGGUGGGGUAGUGGCUUACCAAGGCUUUGACGGGUAGCCGGCCUGAGAGGGUGACCGGCCACAUUGGGACUGAGCUACGGCCCAGACGCCUACGGGAGGCAGCAGUGGGGAAUAUUGCACAAUGGGCGGAAGCCUGAUGCAGCAACGCCGCGUGCGGGAUGACGGCCUUCGGGUUGUAAACCGCUUUCGCCUGAGACGAAGCGUGAGUGACGGUAAUGGGUAAAGAAGCACCGGCUAACUACGUG
rnacentral:rRNA from 1 species